AGCAUAAGGGGGCGCUUGAGCAGAAGAUACACCAUAUAAUCUGAUAGCAGCUUGCUUGCUUCACGGUUUGAGUUCUUGGCAGGGCUUGAUUUUUUGUUUAGAUCAGUAUCGUAACAGAGAUCAGUUGCUAGGUGCCAGACGAGAAUGCACUCAUCGAAUUCUCGCUCAACGCUCCAAUGUAAUGUAGAGAAACAUUUCAUCUCUUCUAGGGUCCGUUUUCCUCUGUCAGCACAUAAUUCCUUGGCUUCCUUAAUGCCUGGGGCAUGCCUUGAUUUCUCCUGAAGCUGUUCAAAGAUCAAAAUUUUCAAAUAUUUGGGGACAUCUGAAUUCUUAGAAGAACAUUCAUCCAACAUCCGAGGAAUGCAAAAGAACUUCCAGACGUCACUGAACUUGAUAGGCAAAUUUUUGAGGCUGUAACUUAUUAGAUUGUACCGUGCCAUGGAAUCAGACCAUCUCUUGUUUGCAGGGAAGAGAUAAGGUAGUCGGCAACUCGAUAUGGCUUUGCAGAUCCGAGUCACUCGUGUUUUUCCUUGCUUGUUCAACCAAUUCAUGGUCCAGUCAGAGGAACACAGUAGAAUAAUAGAAUAAAUCUCCUGAACAAUUGCUCCAACCAGCAACAACCAUGUUAUAAUCACGUCAGUAGUUGAGUACUCAUGCUUGUCAAUUAUCAUGAAGCCGAUGAAUGUUGAGAUUUCUGAAAAUAGACAGAUGAAACGGCGUACCAAACCCCAUUCAUCAUAAACCUUCAUUGGCUUGGUAUAGAAGAUGUCAUAAAUGAACCCAAGCUCAAUCUCAAUCACUUCGAAAGCUUGUUUCCAAGAUAUAUUAUUGAAGAAGGACUUGCUUUGUUCAAGAUCUGUCGGCCCAAGGACGACAUCUGUAAAUAAACGCUUGAACUUGGGGAAGAAUUCAAAAGCCUUUUGCAAAGGGGCUGCAACUAGGACACUUUCAUUUCUGGGGUCUGGCGAAGGUGUAUUCUCCACCUCAGAUUUUUCACUUUCUGGCUGGCAUGAAACACAAUAUCCCUCAGCUUUCUUGCAAUCACACUCUGUCAUGAUCAAUGCGGCAUAACUGACCCCAUCAUACUCUGCCAUGAAUGCGGCACAAGCACAGCCCCUGGUCGGGUGGUCCAGUUCCGGGCCCGGGACCGGGACCGGGACCGGGAGUGGAUGAGAAAUCGUGGUUUUUCUAAAAUGAUAGUAGCUUCCGGACCUUAGAUACCCAGUUUUCUCUCCGCACUUGAUCAGUCCUGUCACAAACAUUGGCAUGCUUAUAAUAUUGAGUGGUCUGCUCUUCCAGGACCUUAAAAAGAUGCUCGAUGCCCACACAAACUUCAAGAGUAGCUGAAUGAAUUGUCUUUUCCAUGAUUCAUUGUCUUCUAAAGAAAAGGCUGUGAUGGUGUCCGGGCCUCCAAGGUGCUGUAGCAGAAAUGGUAGCCAAAAUGCCUUUAUCAUGUCGUUUUGUUGUGAUGAUUCCUUGGCACUUGAAGAGCACGCCAAUAAAAAUAUCAAUUAUCGCAUCUUUUGUUGCGUAAGCUUGCCAAAUGAUGGAUCUAAGCCAGUUUCCUGGUGUAUAUUUUCUCCUGUUGCCCAGGAGGAGGAGCUCUAUUUGUGAGAAGAGGCUGACUAAAAUGAAUACACGGAGUAGCCACUCAUUAAGAAAUCCUAUCACAAUUACGGGCAAAAUUUCCUGGACAAUUCUCCUAUUCAUGAUGAUCAUGCAGCUAAUACCUGAAAAUAUAAAAAGAAAUUAUCAGAUUAAUACAGAAGAUCUGAAUGUCAAUUGAUCAUUAGAAAUGACAGUUGAAUCGAUGAGGAACAGAGUUUAGCAUACUCAAAAUCUAAACCUUUUGACACAUCUCAAUCAUACAAUACUACUAUACUCAUUUCUUGUAGAUAUUACCUGUAGUAUACUUUGAUUUUAUGGAUAUAUUGAAGAUAUAUCGACGGAUAAUUUGGAAAAAAUUAUGAUAAGCCUAAAAUUCAUCAAAACUUAUGGAAAUAUAUAUAUAUAUAUAAACCUUAUAAAAAUGUAAUUAGAAGUAUAAUAGACAUUGUAAAGUUGUUUUGUUAAAUAAAAUUAUAUAUGUAUGAUAUAAUUUAACAUAUUUGAUAAUAAUAUUGUAUGCAUUGAUAAAAAAUAUAAAUUUUAUAAGUGCACAUUCAUUAUUAAAUUACAUCAAAUAUUAUUAGAUAAUAAGAUUAUUAUAUUUGAUUAUAAUAUGUCUAAUUUUAAAAUAUAUUUAAUAUUAAAAUUAUGAUACAUUUAAUUCAAUUAUAUAAAAAAUAUGUACAAUUUUUUAAUAUUUAAUUAAUAUAUUAAUAAUAUUAAAAACACUAUGAAAAAAAUUAUCAUGAUAAUAUUUAUAUUUUUAGUAAUUAAUUAAAUAAAAAAUUUUCAUCUAAUUAUAAAAAAUUAUAAUUAAUUUGUUCUUUAAAAUAUUCUUUUAAUAUAUAUAUAUAUAUAUAUAUAUAUAUAUAUAUAUAUAUAUAUAUAUCAAGGUGAACUUGCCCAUUGGUGGGUAAGGUUUAUUCUUAAACUUUUGUUUGGGUUCGAGUCCCCUUAUAGGUAGAAAAUUAAGGGAUUUUUGUGACCCACAUUGGAGCUCACAAUUUGAGAUAUUUUCCCCACUUCAUCGAUUAAUAUGCAAAUGCCAAAUUUUAUGGAAAUUUUCAUCCAUGAACACAAGAAAAAGUUCUACACUAAAAUCGAGGUUAGGGAUCACGUGUAGAGAAGCAUUGCAUCCGGAAGGAAUUGCUCUUCUUUAUAUAGAUAUUAUUUGCUCUAAAUGUAACGUGUGUCUACAUGAUAUAGAGAAACUAUACACUACUUUUUCCCCUUUAAGAAUGGUAUCACACCAUUAAUAAUUCAUUAAGUAAAAAAUUCAAAUUUUUUGCAUCCUCUCUUGCUUUCAACACAGUGAUUUAGCACAUCUAAGCAAUUUCUUCCAUGAGCACAUUUUUGGAAAUUGAGAGUGAUUUUUUUCAGAGGGUGUUUCUGAUUUCAAAUAGUAAAACAAAAUGCACUUCUAAUUUCAAUUUUCAAAUAAUGAAGGAAAGUAAUUACUUCACUACAAACCAGAUUCCGACUUGCUUGCCUAGUAAAUAGACACUGGCACAACUACAUAGAAAAAGGGUUUUCUCAGCAACCAAACGGAGCUCAACUCAACACCCAAACUCAUUCAGAAUUCCACAAACUUACAAUAACAAUAACCUCAAACUCAUUAGUAUUCAUAUAGGCCAACAAGCAAGGAUCAAACCGUAACAAAUUUGUAUGUAAUUGAGAUUAAAAAUUGAGAAUAAUCUAGGCCAAAGAAAACAUACCCACUUUUCUCUAAGUCUUGGAAUGUGAUGCGAGGGAGCGAGACACACAGAUGUGACAUGGGCGGUCAAAGAGUGCAAGCAGAAAUAGCCAGUGAAGUCUACGUGAGUGAAGUCUUCCCUACCUCAUUUAUUUAUUUUUUUGGUGUGGCAUUUAUUUUUUUUGGUGUGGCAUUAAUUUAGUGAGACCGACAAUGGUUUAAAAUUGCAUAUUCAGUCUCUGUCAUCACUUUAAUCAGGGCGCGUGUGGAGUUCUGUGAAGAAGUAAUGGCCUCUCUCUGGCGUUUAGGUUUGUCCCAAGCAAGCUCCAGGUGGCCCCAGAUGUUUCUCCGGGAUUGACGUAUUAAAUCCAGUUGACCUUAUUAAAUCCAGGUGGCCCCAGAUGUUUCUCCGGGAUUUGAAAUAAUUGAACUCAAAGUGGGAAUCUAUCGAUGUGUCAAAAAAUAAAAAUAAAAUAAUUUUAUUUUUCUUUUUAAUUUAAGUUGUAAUAGUAAAGCUAAACAUUAUGUGUCAAAAAAACACAAAUAAUGUUAUCAUUAUAGGAAGGACAAUGGAUUAGGUUUUUCUAUAUGUCAAUUUUUGUCCCUACAAUGGGAAGAGUUUGAGAUAAAAAUAAAUGGGUUCAAAGUGGGUUUGAGGAGUUUUUAAAACCCGAAAUGGGUUUGGGACAUGUUUAUAUAUAAUUUUAUGUCAGUUCAAUUUGUCUUGAUUGUUUAUAAUUUUAAAUAAAAAAUUAUUUUAAUUCAUUUUUUUUUAUUUUUAAAUUUUUUUAACAUAAAUAAUAUAUUAAUUUUCAUAAAAAUAAAUUAUAAAUAUUUAUAAUAUUAUUUAUUUAUAAAUUAUAUUUACUUUUAAUAAAAAUUUGAAUUUUAAAAAAAUAAAAUAAUGAAAUUUUUUUAAAAAUUAUACAAGAUGGAGCAUAUAUGAAAAUUUGUUAUAUUUCUUCUGUUAUAUUUAUUUGAUGCGGAUGAAAAUAAAUAUAAAUAAUAGUUGACAGAUAUGGAAAUUUAAUUUUUUGUUCAUUUAUUUAUUUAACGUUAAUAAAAAUAAACAUAAAUAAAUGAGAAAGGGAUAGGGUGAAAGUGACCCCAAUCUACCUCAUUUAUCAUCCUAAUAAGUAACUCUAUCCAAUAAUAUCCCAUCAAUGAAAUGAAAGCUUAUCCUCAAUUCCCGUCAUGUACUAAACCUAUCCUCUCCUCCAAGCUUAUCCUCCAUUCCCAUGUAAGGAAUCUCAACGUCCACAUGGUUUUUUUGAGGGUUUUAUGUUUUCUUUUGAAUAGAUAUCAGAUGCAUACAUAAUAAGAAAUGCUUAUUUUAUGCUAACGGCAUCAAUUAUGAAUCAAAUGCAAUAUUUUUCUUCUGUCAAUGAAGCUCCACUAAGCCAUUCCAUUAGACCUUCAUAUUUUUUGGGAUUUUAGCUACUGCUUUAGUAUUGUUCAUUCCAAUUAAUUCAGCUUAUACCAGAAGACGAAUAUGUUGAGUUGGAGGAAUAGAAUUUUGGAAUUCAUGGCAAAGGAUGUUGUAUCAUGGGUGAUACAGAAGCGUUCUCUUCUGCUCAUUCAAGAGCCUGCAGCUUUGGUUGUAGUUGAAGAACAGCUCCAGUUCAUUGAAAAGGAGUCGAAGAGUACUAGGAUCCAUGAUCAAUAUAGCCUAUGAUGUGGAUCGAGGAUGUCAUGGAUGACCUUAUGCUCAAACAAGCAGUAUAAGAAAGGAAAAAGGGAUUUCUGAGAAGGUUUGUUCUAUCGCAAACCCUUAAUUUUAUCCUUUUGGCAGGUGUUUUUUUAAGUCUUUAUUGCAGCUUCAAAUCUCUUUUGGAGAUAUAUGUUGGAGGGAUUAGGUGGAACCUAAUCGUGAUUUUAGUUGCCUUCAAAUUUAGUUUAGGAUCUUGCUUUUCUUAAUGAAUUUCUUUUAUUUUGUUUUUUUUUCUCUGGGAUAGUUUUUUUUCAUUACUUUUUUUAAAUUUUUUUAUUUUUAAGAUUGACUUUAUUUUAGAUUAAUUCACUUAGGAAUGUUUAUUUUUUUUUUACUAAAAUGAAUUAAAUAAAAAAAUAAACAUCACUUUAAUCUUAUUUUAGAAUAAUCUGUUUAAUAUUGUUUUAGAUUAAUUCAUUUGGUAUUGCUUUUAAAUGAAUUCGAUUAGUUUUGUCUUUAAAUUAACUAAUUUUAAUUCUUUUUAUUACUAUACUCAUUUCAUGGUUUUGAGAGUUUUCAUUUGAUCUCAUUCUUCUAUUUGGGAGUGAAGGAGGAUAUCAUUAGUGGAUGGAGGGUCACGUGUCUUCAAUAGAAUUCUCAUCACCAUGCAUGGAUCCAUUUGAGGAGUACUAUCAGUAAAUACAGUACCACUGCAUGCCCGUAGAAAGCACUUCACCAUCAUAUUAAAUGAGCCUAACGUGAGGAUGAGGAGGGAGCUCACGUUCUGAUAAUGUUUUAAGGGAAAGUUGUGUUUUCAUGGGCCAAUAUGGUAAUAAUAUUGUUUUUGGAACCCAGGUUUCUGAAAUAUGAAAAACAUCUGUUAAUGUGGAAACUUAUAUCAGAUUCAUGCACUCUAAGCCGACUGUGUUUUUUCUACCGAGCUUGCCCCUCCAGGUAUCCACGUCAGCAGCCCAUCUCAGUCCGGGGGAUUUUCAGAACGCAAAUAAUUCCAAUUCCGAAGAAAACAAAUUUCCCUAUAUUCUCUGGAAAAUCAAUUCUCUGGAAACCGCAUUUCUCCUCCAAAAUCAAACCCCCUAACCGUCCCUUAAGCUGAAAACAAAUGCAGAAGCAUCCCUCCUCAGCUCCAUUGUUUCUCUCUCUUCAAUCCCAUGAUUCUAGAGAGAGAAAGAAAAGAGUUUCAGACUACAGCAAUGGCCAAAGCGUGUGACCGAUCAUCCAAGCCUCUCCACAACUUCUCCUUACCACGCUUGAAAUAGGGCAAUCAGAGAUUCCUUAGAUGCAUGAAACUCUCUCCAAAUACCUCUAAUUCUUCAUCUUCCCUCAUACCCACAUCUGUGAUUUCGUUCCAAAACGCUGAGACCAACGCCAAUGGUGGAAUCGAAGCCAUUCGCCAGAAACUCAUGCUCGAUCUCAGAGAGGCCGCCGACAAGAUGAGACACUCCAUUUUGGAGGAGGAUUCAGAGAGGCCUUGGAAUCUCAGGACUCGGAAAGCGGCUUGUAAGGUCCCUUGUGAGGCGGCUGUAGUGGAGAAAAAGAAGAAAAGAGGGAGACCGAAGUUUUCGGUGUCCCUGUCGAGAGAGGAGGUGGUAGAAAACCAAUAAAUAUUUGCUUCGCAUGAUCACCUUCCGUAUCCAACCAAAACCAUCUUAACUUGACAUAACCAGAAAAAUGAGAAAACAACAGUAUGAUUAAAUAACUACUGAGAGUGAAAAAUUGUCGAGAGAGCAAAAUUUAUCGAAUAUGGUUUAAGGUAGUGUCAUGCUGCAAUAGGUAAUGAAAUUAACUAAUGAAAAUCUGAAGUCACAAAAUGGCUACAUUUCUCGCAGGUGCGUUAAGGUAGUACCUGAGGUACAUUAAGGUAGUACCUGAAGACCAUUAAGGUAGUACCUUAUGUGCAUUAAGGUAGUACCUGAUGUGCAUUAAGGUAGUACCUGAAAUUUCUUAUGAUUACAUAAGGUACCGUUGGAGUAACCUAUGAGAAUAUAACAAUGUCAUGCUGCAAUAGGUAAUGAAAUUAACUAAUAAAAAUCUGAAGCCAUAGAAUGGCUACAUUUCUCGCAGGUGCGUUAAGGUAGUACCUGAGGUACAUUAAGGUAGUACCUGAAGACCAUUAAGGUAGUACCUUAUGUGCAUUAAGGUAGUACCUGAAAUUUCUUAUGAUUACAUCAGGUCGAUGGAGUCACCUAUGACAACAUAACAACGUCAUGCUACAAUAGGUAAUGAAAUGAACUAAUAAAAAUUUGAAGUCAUAGAAUAGCUACAUUUCUCGCACGUGCGUUAAGGUAGUACCUGAGGUACAUUAAUGUAGUACUUGAAGACCAUUACGGUAGUACCUUAAGUGCAUUAAGGUAGUACCUGAAAUUUCUUAUGAUUACAUAAGCUACCGAUGGAGUUGCCUAUGACAACAUAACAACGUCAUACUACAAUAGGUAAUGAAAUGAACUAAUUGUGUCUAAAGUCAUAGAAGAGCUACAUUUCUCGCAGGUGCAUUAAGGUAGUACCGGAUGUACAUUAAUGUAGUACCUCAGGACCAUUAAGGUAGUACCUGAGGUGCAUUAAGGUAGUACAUGAAAUUUGUUAUAAUUACAUACGCCACCGAUGGAGUAACCUAUGAGAACAUAACAAUGUCAUGUUGCAAUGUGUAAUGAAAUGAACUAAUUGUGUCUUAAGUCACACAACAACAACAUUUCUCAAAUAUGCACUAAGAUAGUACCUGAUGUACAUUAAUGUAGUACCUCAAGACCAUUAAGGUAGUACAUGUUUUGCAUUAAGGUAGUACCUGAUGCGAUGAAACAAUUCUGUCUUCGUUGACAAAAGAUGUACACUACAAAUUCCAACAAACAUUACAAAUUCAUAAACACUACCAACAAUUUCUACUAACCAACACAUAAUUUAUGCAUUUUUAUUUUUAUUAUUAUUAUUAUUUUUAUUUUUAUUCUCAACAUAUAUGAUUGAAUUAUCAAGUUUUUCGCCAAUAUAUGAUAUUGCCUAAUUAUAUUCAUCAAUUAUUACCAUCAGUCUAAAAAUCUGAAUAAAUACACAAGUUUUCCACCCAAUUUCUAAAUAUGUCCACAACAUUUUUCCAUUUCAUGAGUCUCCAAUACACAAAAAUAUUGAGAUCAAACAGCCGCUCAUGCGAUCCAAAAUCCAACAAGGCCUCUCUGAAUCGUCCUCCAAAAUGGAGUGUCUCAUCUUGUCGGCGGCCUCUCUGAGAUCAAGCAUGAGUUUAUGGCGAAUGGCUUCGAUUCCACCAUUGGCGUCGGUCUCGGCGUUUUGGAACGAAAUCACAGAUGUGGGUAUGAGGAAAGAUGAAGAAUUAGAGGUAUUUGGAGAGAGUUUCAUGCAUCUAAGGAAUCUCUGAUUGCCCCAUUUUAAGCGUGGUAAGGAGAAGUUGUGGAGAGGCUUGGAUGAUCGGUCACGCGUUUUGGCCAUUGCUGUAGUCUGAAACUCUUUUCUUUCUCUCUCUAGAAUCAUGGGAUUGAAAAGAGAGAAACAAUGGAGCUAAGGAGGGAUGCUUCUGCGUUUGUUUUCAGCUUAAGGGACGGUUGGGGGGUUUGAUUUUGGAGGAGAAAUGCGGUUUCCAGAGAAUUGAUUUUCCAGAGAAUAUAGGGAAAUUUGUUUUCUUCGGAAUUGGAAUUAUUUGGGUUCUGAAAAUCCCCCGGACUGAGAUGGGCUGCUGACGUGGAUACCUGGAGGGGCAAGCUCGGUAGAAAAAACACAGCCGGCUUAGAGUGCAUGAAUCUGAUAUAAGUUUCCACAUUAAUAGAUGUUUUUCAUAUUUCAGAAACCUGGGUUCCCAAAACAAUAUUAUUACCAUAUUGGCCCAUGAAAACACAACUUUCCCAUGUUUUAAACAUCGGAUUGGACCGGUUCAACCACGAUUCAACCACGGGUCCGAUCAAUAAACCAUGAACUGGUAACUUUUCUGUUUUAAUGACCUGUCUGAUUCUGAAAAUAUUAGAAACUCUAAAAAAUAUUGGUUUCUAAAUGUUCUAGAAGACUUUUGCCACGGGGUGAAUGGGUCAAAACCGUACUACCACACGGGACUGGGAGAAGACUCUGGAAGAAGCAUCUAUCUUUUUGUUGGCAGCUGGCAUAUGGUAGCAUGAGGAUUGCGUGUCUAAUGGAUUCCAGAAGCUUCAAUGGAGGGGGAGGACACGCCGACCGGGAAGAAGAAUCCUCUCCGUCUUGCAGUGGGUUUUUCGGAGAGAGAGGAAGAACAGAUCAUCAUGGCAUUGCAUCAACACGGCAUGACCUAGCGUUUUAUGCUAGCUUCAGUUUUCGGCAUUAACACCAUGUCCAUCUCUGGAAGGAGAACACACCACCGCCAUUGAAGAUCUGCACCAGCACACCAGUUCGAUCAUUUGGACACUGCACCCACAUCUUCAUCUCGCCAUUUUUUAGAUUUCUGUCAGCAUAACACGCAGGCACCACCACCUGGCUAUCAUCUGCGCACCAUCAGCGCAUUAUCUAUCUCCGCCAUUCUGCAUCCUCUGAACACACGACAUCUUGACAUCUUCAUUUGCUGCGCAUCAGAGCAUCGCUACCAUAAUGCAUCUCGUUCCGGGAGGUUCCAUCAGUUGUGUUCCAGAUUCAGUAUCACGUCAAUUCAUCACCACUUCUCUCAGUUUCCUUCACCUUUCUCGCUCUCCAAACAGUGGAACAGACACACCACCACCACGUGCUAGCCAGAAUCAUCAGGGAUUUUGAAUGCGCAUCUUCAGCAGAGGAGAAGAAUCAUCAAGGCAUUCUGGAAAAGACCACCAAUCGGAUCCCUCAUCUGCGAACAGCGCACUAACAUCAGCUUCACACAUGCAUCGCGUUGUCUGCACACCACACCAGUCCCGUCUACCACAGCAUCUGCAUAUCCAUAGCCACGUACGCAUCAACAAUAAACCUCCAAUACAUCAUCCAUGUCUCCUACAUCUUCAUCUGAGUACACACAAUCAGCAUCCAUCAUGAAGGAAAAUCAGCAUGCACUACUAAGGAUCAUUAGCACGCAAACUGCCAUCAGCUCCAUUGAAGAAAUACACGCGGCCAUGUCAGAUUUGCAGGAGGAUUGAGUUCACCCACUGUUGCACUAUGACACCCGUCAAUGAUACAUGCACUCAUCAUCAGAAUUUUAAUCACCAUUAGAACAAGAUAUAAAGGUGAGUUUUGAUAUCCUUAUUUCCAUUUGAAUAAAAAAAAUCAAUAACCUAGGUAUACAUACUGAUCAUGGAAGGAUGUUAGUGAAAUGCUUUGUUUGAUUUAAAAAGAAUAAACUGAUGUCAGGAUGGAUGGUGGUCGGCCAUCGAAAUUCUUUGGUAAUGGCUUUUGUUGAACUUUCAAAAUCAAUUGAAUGUGGAAUAAUGUGGUCGGCUACGAGGGAUGUCAAUUGCUGGUGUUUGUUUGAGAUUUAAAAAUACAAUGAAUGCAUGACAGGCAUGGAAGAGUGUCAAUGCUUUGUUUUAAUUUUUAAUUUUUGUUAUCAGUGGAAUGAGAAUGGGUGUCAGCCGGAGAUUAGUUAAUGGUAUAUAUGUGAUUCAGACUUACAAGAGAAAAAAUAAAAUAAAAAUAAAAACAUUUUCUAAAAUUACUACCAAAUAAACUUUAAAUUUCAUUCAUAAAAACAUUUUUGAACAAAAAUUAUUUCGUCCCAUAUUCAUGGCCCCAGACCGGCCGGUCGCUAAAAUUAUGUUUGUUGAACUUUAAAUAAAAAUCUAUAUAUGAACGUAGUGGAUGGUGGCAGCCAUGAAGUUGUGAUAAUUUAGUUAGCUAGUUUUGAAUUUUAAAAUUCUAUAAAAGCUACUUGGAAAUGAAGCUUAAUGUAGUUCGAUUGUUUGAAUUAGAAAAAUCAACAUGGGGAAGAAAGGUAGCUAUGCAUGUGUUGGUAUCAGCGGCUGUCUGAAUAACAUAAAACUUAAAGGGAGUGAAUGAUGGCAGCCAGUUUUUGAUAAGAAUAAUGUUAGUAUUAGUGGCAUGUUUACAUGAAAUAAUAAUAAUAAUAAUAGGGUAGUGGAGAUAUACUAUGAUAUUUGGUGAUUGUUUUAGAUUAAGCAUGGGAAUGUAGGAAAUUAUACUUAGAACAUUUUUGGAUCUUAAUUUGGAUUCUAAAUUAAGUUACAAUGGUUAGUUUGUUAGAAUUCACAUUCACACACUUACACUUUUUCUCGAUGGUUUGUGUUUGAGAUUUUAUGUGUUUUAAUAUUUUUAAAAUUGUUUUCAACCGUGUUCAUAGUCAAAUCAAUCUUCUAACUUCUAUUUAAAAUUCAUCUUAGUCAUUUUAAUUAUGAAAUUUCAAUUUUCCAAAAGACAAUGCAACCUUAUUUUAUUCGGUUUGCAUACGUAAAAAAAGGUUUUAAAAUGAAUUUUGAUUUUGAAUGAUACAUGAAUUAAAAUUCAUAACUCCAAUCAAUAGAGUCAUUUUCGGCUUUGAUGAGCUUUGUUGUGAUCAUUUGAGGUUGAGAAUUAUGGAUGAAUUCGUGGAAAUUAAAAAGGGAUUUGGUAGAUCCCUACAUACAAAGUUUUCAAAAAAUCAGUUUUCUAUUACCACUGUUGAAUGUCCAUUGCUCCUUUGAACUUUUAAAUUGGAAUUCAAUCACUUAGAUACCCCCUAAAAUUAUUUCAAUUCUUUUAUAUUAUUAUUGACUCCUUAAAUGUGUGACAUAAAUUUUUUCUAACCUAAAACACUUCUCCAAACAAUGGAUUUAAUUUAGUAUUCCAACAGGUGUAGUUUAAGCACUAUUCUAGACACCUGAAAUGUUUCUAUAAAAAUAGAUUGCUGGAUGACUUUGAAAAAUUGGUUUAAUAUUUUUCCUUCAUUCUAGACAUCGUGAAAUUGAUUUUUGAUACAUAAAAUAUUAGAAAAUGUUUUCCCAAUUUUGAACCAAGAGGUUAUUUGGUUGUUUUUAAAAUUGAUGCAUAUAUUUUCCUACCUCACCAAUAUUUUUAUUGCAAAUUAACAUGCCGAACAUAUGGUAUGAUUUUUUUGUAUCAUUUUAUCACAUUUAUGGGGUGGCUAAAAAGUUGAUUUAUUCAUGCUAUAGAAUUCAAUCUUGUUCUAGACCUUUUAGGAUAUUUUAGUGAACCGGAAUUGAUUGAAAUUUAUUUAAUUGUUUGAUCACUUGAAUGAUAAGCUAAACAUGUAGAAUAUGUUUUAUGAAAAUUUUUGUGAUUAAAUUCAUAUUUUAGAUAUUUUUUUAGCAUUUAUUUUGUGAACCUUCGUAUUCUGAUUGUAUGUUGAAAUUCCUAUAUAUAACUUUAUUUGUUAUUUGAUUUGGUCUUAGUUGGCAUAUCUUUGUUUGAUCUUAAAUUUUGUAUUAUAAUAUAGACAUAAUGAGGGUGUUACCUAAAUUUUUCUAUGAUAAAAUAUUACUUUUAGGUAUUUAUUUAUGAUUUUCUUAAAGCAAUUGACUAUUCUGCCACUUUGUUGCAUAUUUUGACUUGGUCACUUAUUUUGGUAUUUUUGAGUCCUCUUGUGAAUUAGUUUGUCUUUGAUAAUAAUUUGUAUGUGUAUUCUAUGUGAUAGUUGAUAUUUAAUUUUUAGGUUCUUUGCCAUUUUAUUUGAGUCAUACAUAUGCCAUGUAAAUUAGGGUUUACUAUCAUAGUUAUUUGUUGUCGUGAUUUAUUCUAACCGCUAUAGCUAUAUGCAAGCACAUUGUAAGCUAUGAAUGCUAUCAAGGUAUGCCCUUUGUUUCAUUUAUUUCUUUAACUCUAUAAAUAGAUGUGUUUGUGAACAUCUUUGUGUUUGAUUAUGCUUUGAUCAUUGCUUAUUUUUCUUGCGUGAUAUGAAUUGCAUGUUGUAUUAUUUGUUAAACUAACUUUAAUGUUUACAUGAAAUUGCUUUAGGUUGCAGCUCAGGUACACAUAUAUAUCAUUUUCUUUGUGUGAUUGAUUUAUUUGGUGUGAUUGUUUCAAUAUGAAUAACAUCCUAUUAAGCUUAAGAUAGUCAUUUUUAUUAUCUUUGAUAUUUAUUGAUUUGCAUAUUAAUUGUCAUAGUUAUCUUAAUUUAUUUAGUAGACACUUGUUUUAAGGAUUAGAGGGGUAUUAUCUUAUAGUAUCUUCCCAUAGAGUAAUCUAACCUCAUAUCUGGACUUGAGUUCUGAAAGGCAUGAUUUUCCAAAAUAAAGAGUCAUUUUUUAAUGUUUUAUUUUCUCCUUUAAAAAAAAGUGAGGACUCCAAUUCUUAUAAAAAUUAGUUUUUCACUAAAAAGCGAAUCUCAUAAGUGAGUGGGAACACACGUGAAAAAUACGGUCCACAUCUAUUCAUCACUAGAUUCAUUCAUCAAUAUCAACUUCAUAGAAAGUUGGAAUGGAUGAAGGUGUACAACUUUCCAAGCUAGCUCUUUCUGCCCAUGUUCCUAUUCUUCGUGCCUCGUAUGCUAUUGAUACUGAAGAAAUAGAUUGGGAAUGCCAGAGCUCACUACAAGAUCAGAAUACGGCCAACACAGUUGUUUCCCCAAUCAUUGAAAAAGUUAUAGCUUUGCUAGCUCAGAAGUCUCUUUAUCCCCAAAUGAAAAGGAAGGCUAGGAGGUUACAAGGCAAAUUUAGGCUGAUUAGUAGUUUUCUAAGAGAACUAGAAUCAGAAGAGUUAGAUAGUAGAGGAAUGGCUUGGAUGGAGGAACUCUGUGACCUUUUUCCCAUUCUGCGGUAGAUGUAAUUGGGUUAUUCAUCAACCGAUUAGAACAUCUCAGUAGCAGUUGGAGGGGACCUUUUGGGAGAGUUGUUUUGGCCUAUUACAAUUUUAAAUGUCAGCAUAAGCUUGCCAUGGAGAUGGAUGAAAUUCACUCUAAGAUCUUGGAGAUCUCUGUGGGGAGACAAAAAAAUGCUCGCACUAGAUGUAUUCGAAUCAGAAAGCCAACAUCUACAUUCUUCAGAAUCCUGUCAGCUUUUAUGAUGAUGUGCAUGCCCUAAUGACAUGGUUGCUCACAGAGGAUAAAAGUUUCUGUGUGAUUUCAAUAGUAGGCAUCAAAGGCAUUGGUAAGACAACCUUAGCCAAGUUGGUCUAUAACAAUGACAUUGGGGAUCGUUGCCCUUAUUCGUGCCUAGACCUCUGCAACUUGUAAAUUUCAAAUUCCUGAGGACGUGAUGAAAGCAUUUAUGUACUACGACACUAACAAGCCAGUAAGUUGGUGGGAUGAGAUGACACAAAUGGUCAAAGCUUUCCUGAGUGAUAAGAGGUUUCUCAUAGUUCUAGAUGAUGCCCACUGUGUCUCUUGUUUUAAUGAAAUCAUAGCAGCAUUCCAAGACACAAUGAGUGGGAGGACAAUGAUUCUAACCACAUGUGAAAUGAGUUUGCUUUCAAAUCUCAAAUUGAGGAGUAUUCAUCAUGCAUGGCGAUUACGAGGAGAUGAUGAGAGUUGGGUAUUAUUUACUUAUGCCAUGAAGGUAAACAUACUAUUAGAACUACUAAAUCUGAGAAGUGAAAUUGUGAGAAAAUGUGGGGGGUUGCCAAUGGCAAUGGUAAAAUUGGCAGAUGUUUUGUCACAGAAGGAUGCAGCCAUUACGGAAUGGUCCAGUGUGCUCCAGCAGUUUAAUGGAGACCAUGACCUAUGGUCUAAUACCUUGAACAAGAUCAACGAGGAUUUGCCCUUGUAGAUGAAGCAAUGUCUGUUUUAUUGCAGGCUAUUUCCUCAAGAUUUUGCGAUUCCAGCAAGAAGAUUAUGUUGUGGCUUGCAGAGGGUUUGGUGCAACCAGGGGGAAAGAAUGAAUCUCCGGAAGAUAUUGCAGAGAGGUGCUUGAUAAAGUUGAUAGCUCAGGGCAUGGUUCAAAUGAUAAACAAGAAGCCUAAUGGGAAUGUUAAUUCAUGUCGCCUUCCUGAUGCCCUACGACAGCACUGGUUAUCAAAAGCCCAACAAGCUACAUUUCUUCAAGUUCAGGCUAACACAAGAUCUGAGUUGUCCCAAAGCACUGGUCUAAUCCACCACCUUGCUGAUCACUUAGAUAAAGAAGAUGUCAGCUUUGAUCAUAUCCACGGUGGCUACAACAUUGCUUCCACAUCAUUGAUGCCUCAGUACUGCCUUACUGAUCACUUGGAUAAAGAAGGAAGAAAACCAGGAGAAGACAUAGGAAACUUUCUUCAUAGAUGCAUUUCUAGCAGUUUCCUCCUAUUACUAAGGGUUCUUGAUCUUGAAAAUGUAUUCAGGCCUAAGUUGCCCAGGGAACUUGGUAAAAUAACUCGACUGAGGUACCUUGGCUUGAGAUGGACUUUCCUGGAGAUGAUUCCCUCAUCUCUAAGCAAGCUGCAAAACCUCCAAACAUUGGAUUUGAAGCAUACUAGCAUCGGUACUCUUCCUAACUCAAUAUGGAAGAUGCAACAGUUGAGACAUUUAUUCUUGAGUGAGAGUUUUCCAAGUAAAUUCAUGUCUCAACCACAAGCAAGCUUUCCAACAGCUCUCCAGACCUUUUGGGGACUACUUAUAGAUGCGGAGACUCCAGUGAAGGAUGGCUUAGACAAAUUGAUCAAUCUUAGAAAAUUGGAAUUAGCAUGUCGGUUAAUUCCAUCUCAACAGGGGACAAUGUUGUUACAAUUGGAAACAGUGGCUGAUUGGAUUUUGAAGCUGAACCGUCUUGAAUCUCUGAGACUGAAAUCAGUUGAUACUAAUAAUCAACCUUGGGAUCUAGUCCUAAAGCCUUUGUCUGGUCAUGAGGAUCAUUCUAGUCUUUAUUUGUUGUCAUGGUUAAACAAUCCAUCAAUAUUCUUAUCUGAAUUCCCAGAGUCUCAUUGACCAUACUCUUAUCAAGUUCAGAACUAAAUGAAGACCCUAUCCAAAAAUUGGACAAGCUCCCAACCUGAAAUUUCUUAAGUUAUUGACCAAAUCUUAUAUAGGAAAGAACAUGCUUUCCACUUCAGGAGGCUUUCCUAAAUUUCAAAUUCUUAAACUAUGGAAGCUAGAGCAACUGGAGGAGUGGAACGUGGAAGAAGGUGUACAACAAGCUCUCUAUGAUUUGGAGAUUAGGUCCUGUGCAAGGUUGAAGAUGCUUCCGAAAGGAUUGCAACAAAGAACUCUCUGGAAUUUGAAGUCAAUAGAUAUGCCCAAGGAGUUCACUACUUUAAGUUCAUAGUAAUAUUCACUUGUUAGGCUUUGAGAAAUUUUUUUUCCCGGUUCAGAGUCAAGAGGGUUGAGAAGCGUCAUACUCUUCAUUGUUGUCAAGUUCUCCUUUGCUUAGUAUUUCAAUUAAUCACUACUCUGAUUGCUUAACAGAAAUGAUACGAGUUAACUAGACAUAGCUUCUGGGGUGUGGGUUCAGCUAAUAAAUAUAAAACUUACCCUUUUUUGAGGUGAAAUUUGUUUUGAACUUACAAUAAUAUAAUUUCAAGAUUGUGGUUCUCGCAAUAAGCUUUGAGUUUGAGAUCAAUUAUUCAAUCUGAUCAUCUGUGAAGUCUAUUGUUGAACAAUCAUACUAAGCUUAAACGAAUAAGAUCAAGAAGGCUAUAAACACAGAAAUUGUGAAAGCUUCCCACCAAGUUUUCACCAAGAUGUAUUCUGGAAGAAGAAUGAACCAGAUCUGCAAAGAAGUGCCCGAAAGCAUAAAAAAUGUAGUAAGCCUCAUGCAGAAUGGCUGACUUGGGGGGUAAUGCUGCUCCCUGCAUCUGUAUUAGAAUGACCUACCGCAGUUUCCUCUAAUAUCACUGUCCCCAGCUGUGAAAUCUUACAGUCUAAUGCCAUUUGAACUAUACUUGUCUGUGAAUUUUAGAUAACUAGGCACUGGCCUGGUCAGGACAAGGUGGCAAGACUUCUCAUGUCUUUUUUAAUAAAAAGAUAAUCACACUUUUUUAAUUAUUUAUCAUGAUUUGGUGGUAAUAGAACUACUACUUAGCCCUUGUAUAUAUGAGGAUGUGAAGUAGAGGUCCUAUUUCAUGAAGAAUAAUGAGUUGGUAAGAUCAAUCAAGGUCUCAUCAUGAUGGGUUCAAAGAUGUAGCUCAUUUUGAACACAACAUUUAGAGAUUUAGAGGAUCAAGUCUCGUGGAAGGUUGAAAAUGCAUCCAUUUUCUUUACAUCUUACUUAAAACUAAAGUUUGAAAUAUCGGUAAACAUAGAUUUAUCAGUACUUGGAUUUUAUGAUUAUAUUGAAAAUAUCGGAGAAAUUUUGAUGAAUAUUUUGAUAAAAAUAUCGUUAAAGUAAAAAUUAUUUAAGAUUCAUGAAAAUAUUUGAAAAAACUAUAAAAAAAAUUAUAAAAUAAAUAAGAAUUCACAUUUUAAAGUUAUUUUGUAAAUGUAAUUGAUAUAAAUAUUAUUAAGAAGAAAAAUAUCUAUAUAUAUAAUUUAUUAUUUAUCUUAUCAAAUUAAUUUUAAUUUAUAAAAUAUUAUAACUUUAUUAUUAUUAUUAUUAUUUAUAUUUUAGUUUUUUAAAAAUAAAUUUAUAUGUUUAAUAUUUUAAAAUAAAAACAUUCUAAAUUAAAAGGAUAAAUAUAAAAAAUUUAAAAGUGAAGUGAUAAUAAUUUUUUAGAAUAUGAUUAAUGAGAUAAAUUGUGAUACAUUUAAAUACAUUUAAUAGUGUGAAAUAAAUUAUGAUAAAUAUAUGAUUUUUUUAAUAUUUAUAUUUUUUAUAUUUAACUAUCAUAUAAAUAAUAUAAAAAAGACUUAUUAAAAAAAAUUAUAAUAUUGAUUUUUAUAUUUUUAUUAAUCAAUUAAAAUGUAAUUUAAAAUAAAAUAAUUAAAAUUAGAUUUUUUUUUUAAUGAUGAAUCUUAACAAAUUUAAAUUAAAUAUAUAUUAUCAAAGAGUAUCAUAUUCCAAUGGCAGCAGGAUUGAACCCAAGGUUUUGAUUUAAUAAAAAUUAAGAUGGAUAAUUAAUAAUUAAUAAUUAUUUAUAUGGAGGAAAAUUGUUUUCAUGAUUUGUUUCUUUUUUUCUUUUUCUUUUUUAUCUCUACUAAAUCUAAAACUCAGACGGGCCACCCACUUCUCUCAAGGCAUCAAGAUGCCCUUGUCUGAAGUUGCCCUCCAGACGAGAGAAUCCCUAAAAAGGCCCUAUUUUCCUCUGCCACUCUCAAUCCCCGCAGGUAGUAAUCUAAUCAUGGGUUUUAUUUUUUUAUUUUAUCCUUUUCAACCCCAUUCGAUUCCCAAGAAAACCCAUCCCCCAUUUGAUUUCCGGGAAAAUUCAUCCUCGUUUGAUUUCCGAGAAAAUCCAUGCUAAAUCCCCAAGGAAAACCAAAAAAUUGCUUUUUUCUUUUUUUUUGCUCCCUGUGUUUUCUGGAUCUGUUCUAGGGGUCUCUUUGCUUUUAUGCCACUGGAUUUAAAUUUCACGAACCCUAAAUCCACGAUUUUUGAGCUAGGCUGAAGAACACAACCUUGCCAUGCAAAUCAUGAUCAGAUUACCAAAUAGCAUCUUAUUUGUUUUUUUUUAAAAAAAGAAUUGGACAGAUUUUGUAUCCUGUGCGUGGCCUGGACUGGUAAGGAAAUAUCGGGAAAUUUCCCUACAAAAUGGGUAAAAAUACCGAUAAAUACCGAAAUUUCCGUCGACCAAUAAUCGGUGACGAAUAUGAUGCCGGAGCCGGCCGAUAAGAGAAAUUUCGGAGAUGUCAAACACUGCUUAGAACAACACCUGGGACACCAUUGUUCUGUUUAAGCUUUUAUUGGAGGAGAAUGAAGCAAUGGAUGUGAGUAGGUCUUUCAAUGUUCUGUUCUACUUCUUCAUUGAGAUAAUGAAGAGAGGUCUAAAAAUUUUGGCAAAAAAAAAAAAUUAUGAAAGUGAAUAUAAUUUAUAAAUUUGAAGUAGUCUUAGAGCUGUUUAGAUGAUUUGUGUUGAUCAAACUUAUCGACUAGGGCAUUGGCCUUUCUCCUAAUUUUCAUCAGUGUACCUAAUCGAGAUCCACCUCAGUCAUUGCAUGGCCUUGCAAAAUCUUGAAACGUUCAGCUAUUCCAAAAUGGGGCAUUAGAAGCCAAACAUGAGUCAGCAGCUCUCUGCCUUGCCUCACCUCCUUGCCAUGGUGAUUCCAUUAAGCCAUUUUUUGAGCACUCACAGAACUUGAUUAAGUGUGGGAACUGUAUUUUGGCCUUUAUUCUCCCCUGCUGCAGGCUAAACUUCAUGGCUCUGAGACCAAAGAAUUUUGUUGUGUAUGAAAAAAGAUGGAGUGGGGAUUAAUAAAAAAGACAGUGAUAAAGCUUUGAGUUUGGGAUCAACUAAUAAAUCUGAGACAACCUCAGAAUCCAUAGAGCAUUUUUCAAACCUCGUGGAUUUCUGUUGCUUGAUGAUUUCUUCUAAACUGGCUCGUGUAUGCUAUAAGCAUAAGCCCUACUGCUAUGUCAUUAAUUCUGUAAAUGAACUACUAUAGAUCAUGAAACAAAUCCUGACCCUCUUCUUAAUUGCUUUUCUAGGUAGCAACUUUAGUGAAUUGUUUGUUUGUUUGUUUUGGCCAUACCAUACAUUUGUUCACUGGUAUGCUACAAAUCUUUAAAAACACGUCUCUAUCAGUAUUGCUUCCAGAUUCCACAUGUGACUGGGAUUAAGGGAAAUGUCAAGGAAGCUAUCCCUUUCUCUCCAGCUACAAGAUAAAUUUUACAGUUCCAGUUAUUUUCUCUAGGUACAACCUAUAAUUUUCAGUUCCAAACCCGAAGAUUUGAGUCUUGUAGAAGCCUCUUUCUCCUCAGCAUUUUAGGAAAAAGAGGAGGCAGAAUGGAGGAUCCAUGGCCAAGGUCAUUCUCUCAUGGGUGGCACAGAAGCUCUCUGUUCUGGUCAUUCAAGAAUCAGGCCUUUUGAAUGGACUUGAAGAAAAGGUCAAUUCCAUCUACUUGGAACUGGAUUCUUUAUUGAGAGAACCGUCAGAAUUAGAGGAGUUCAGGGGCAUUGCCUAUGAUAUAGAGGAUGUAAUUGAUGACCCGACACUGAAAUCAUCAGCAACAAGAAGGAGAAGUAGAGUUCACAAGAAGCUGGAGCAGAUCAAGGCUAAGAUCUAUGAUGUAAGUAGAGGGCCAGCUUCUUACGCUUUCAUACCAGCUCAACCAGUAGAGGAACAGAACAUAGCCAUCACAGUGGUUUCCCCAGUUAUAGAUAAACUUACAGCUCUUUUAGCUCAGUUGUCUUUCGUCCUCAAGUGAGAAGGAAGGCCAGAAGGUUACAGGAUGAAUUUAAGUUAAUGAAGAAUCAGAAAAUUUAGAUGAAAGUGGAAUGAUAUGGAUGGAGGAACUCUGCAACAUUUCUAUUUAUGCAGCAUAUGUAAUUGGGUUCUACACCAACAGAAGGAAACAGUUUAAAUGGAAGGGAACUAUAAGGACAGUCAUCACAGCCUUUGACAAAUUGUGGUCUCAGCUUCGUCUAGGCAUGGAGUUGGAUGCAAUCAAUGCUAGGAUCCAGGACAUUUCUGAGAGCUUGUGGACAAAUUCAUAAGAAAAAUCCAUACUAAUUGAAUACACAUCAGUAACUUGGAAGAAAGCCUAAGAGGUGCAUAUAUAUUGUACAUAUGCCAAUUAUUUCCUUUAUUUUCUUCCUUAAGUAUAACUACUUUUAUGCAAAUGGAUGAAAAAAUGUUUAGGAUUCCACACACAAUAUAACACAGUAAGGAAGAGGUGCAUAUAUAUAUUCUACAUAUGUGCCUUAAAUAAAACAAAGCACAAAUGGGACUAACAAUUCUGGUGAAAGACUCCACCUUCAAAAUGAAACUUAAAGAAAAUGCAACAAUGGUGGAACUCUCACCACCUGAAUUGAAACUCCUUUGCAUGAAAGGAUUGAAAACCAUUUUUGAGAAAAAAGGAAUUUCCAUGGAAAUGGAGAAAAUCCACCCAACCUCUUUGUCAUCAGCAUUCCUAAUUCACAACCAGCCUAAUCCUGGCAUACAUGUUCAGUAAUACCAAAAUGAGCCAUGAGAAGCCAGACAUGAGUGAGCAGCUCUCCACCUUGCGUUAGCUCCUUGGCAUGUUUAUUCCGUGGACAGUGACAUGCAGCAUAACAUAGCAUCUCUACCCACACAUGACUCAUCAUCUCCCAUUUCUUUUCGUUGUUCCAUUUUUCUGACUCCAGAGAUUGCAAAGACUUGGCCAGCCUACAGGCAUCGAGUAACACUGACUUGCUUCCAUCUCCUUUCGCUUUCAAUGGUGGAAUUUCAGUGUUCACUUGAAGAAGUAACCUUUCACAAGCUUGGAUUCUAUCUUUUACACACUUAAAAAUCUCCGUGGCCUUAGCACAGCUGUCUUGAAAUCGGAUUUGUCCAAUUCCAUCAGGCAACAUAACAGGGUGCUUGACCAGAAGAUACACCAUAUAAUCUGAUAGCAGCUUGCUUGCUUCACGGUUUGAGUUCUUGGCAGGGCUUGAUUUUUUGUUUAGAUCAGUAUCGUAGCAGAGAUCAGUUGCUAGGUGCCAGACGAGAAUGCACUUAUCGAAUUCUCCCUCAAUGCUCCAAUGUAAUGUAGAGAAACAUUUCAUCUCUUCUAGUGUCCGUUUUCCUCUGUCAGCACAUAAUUCCUUGGCUUCCUUAAUGCCUGGGGUAUGCUUUGAUUUCUU
rnacentral:lncRNA from 1 species